AAAUGAGGUAGAAUUUCCGGCUCAACGCCGGCUUAGCUCAUCUGGUAGAGCAGUUGAUUUGUAAUCAUCAGGUGGCGGGUUCGAGUCCUGCAGCCGGCACCA
rnacentral:tRNA from 1 species